rnacentral:rRNA from 1 species
UGGAUUAGAGAAGGCCCAAUCGAGUACAGGAGGCAGCAGUGGGGUAUAUGAACAAUGGGCGGAGCAUGAUCCAGCAAGGCGGGGUAAGUGAUGGAGGCCGGAAGAAGGGAAAGAUAUUUGAUCGAGAGGAGGAUGGGAGUAUGGGGAAGAAAAAGUCACGGCUAAAUCCAGCCACACGCGGGCGGUAAACAGGGGAGCUAGCGUUGUACGAAGUAUUCUGGGGGUAAAGCGCACGUACAGGGCUUUUUAUGUCAGGGGUGAAAUCCCAGGGCUCUACCCCGGAACUGGCCUUGAAACUGGGAAGCUAGAAUCUUGGAGAGGCGAGUGGAAUUUCGAGCGUAGAGGUGAAAAUUGUAGAUAUGUGGAAGACCACCAGUGGGAAGGCGACUCGCUGGACAAGUAGUGACGCUGAGGGGGGAGAACGUGUGGAGAAGACACGAUUAGAUACCCUGGUAGUCCACACCCUAAUCGAUGAGAACUAUCUGUCCGGGUUCAUAGAACUUGGGUGGCGCAGCUAACGCAAUAAGUAUCC